ensembl:lncRNA
CUUCAAUAAACUAUAUUUUAAAAAUAUAGUACUGUAAAGUGUGUUUUGGUGAAUGCUAAUAUACCUUACACAAAGCAAUAAUUUAUACAUAACAGAAUAGUUGUGUAUCGGUUCAAUGUAAAAUGAAUGCAUCAAUCCAAAAAGAUUAGCUGUAUCAGAGAGAUAGAAAAUGACGUAUUCUCGUAUUCUUUAAGGCAACUUUUAUUUUAUGGAAAGGUUUAGGAAUGUCUAAUCAGACACGUGUACACUGAGCAGGAAUAACAUAACAUUCAAUCUUCAAUGCAAUUGUGGAAGUUCAUCCAUACACCAGCGAUUGAAUUGGACUAAACAGAAAGUAAGUCGUAUAACAGGUGACUGUGACAUGAGCAUUUUUUUUUUAUUGAGAUAAAAAACUAUGGCUUUAAUCUCCUGUGGCACAUUCUUAUCCAUCACUCAAGGGCACAUCAGCCAUCUUGCGGGCUGAGGUCAUGAUGAGAAAUGAGGAGCACCAAAUUAAUCCCUAAGGAUCAAUACCAGGAUCAGGCCAAAAUCUCCCCUCCCCAUCAUCGUCUGAAUGAUCAAAUAUUCUCCAUUUCCCUUUUUCUAUCCCACCGUUGUUUAAAACAUAAUCACUUAUGUCUUCAUGGAGAUGGUGUUUGGGCUUAUUUCAGAUACAUAAAUUAGCUAUUUGGUUCAACAAAGAGAACAAAAAUACGUCUUGUAUUUUCCAUUUGCUUGACCUCCACCCAACACCCUGACUUCCUUUAUACAUACUCUAGAACUUGUUUUCCAACCAAGUAUACUACAGGACUGAUUUAACAGGGAAUGUAAGUUUCUGAACUAUAAGUAUUUUUCAUCUAUAACCUACAAAAAAAAAAAGCCUUCUUCAAAUUGUAGCCCAUGUCCUAGAACGUGCCCAGUCUAUCUUCCAAGAACUGUAGCUAGCAGUGCCAUUCGGAUGUACAUGCCGUUUUCAGCUUGCCGGAAGUAGGCUGCUCGUGGGUCAGAAUCAACCUCUGCACUGUGGAAUAAAGAUAGUGUUAAAGAGAGUUCAACAGAAGAUAUUCAGUUGGAGGAAUUGACAGAGGAUUCAAAUUCAAGUAAGCCUUAGUAUUCUCGUGUGGCAGUUGGUUGAGACUAUUUCAGUGGUGCAGCGACAGACCAACCUGAUCUCAUUGACUCGCGGGAGAGGAUGCAUGACAACCAUCCUGCGUUUAGCGGCGGUCAUGAUGUGUGGGGUAAGGAUGAACUGGCCAAAACACUGAAACAGAGAAUGCACACAUGCACAAUUACUGCGCAUACUUUGACCUGCUCAUCUGAAAUAUAUUCAGAUCUCCACAAAAUUGGCUGUUCUAGCUUGGCAGCCCACCCAUUAGAUUAGUUAGCUGGUUUUCAUGAGUGGACCAAACAAUCUGAUUUAAAGGAAAUUAUGAAGUGAAUUCUUAUAAUCGUCAUCUUGUGGACCACAGGAAGGUUGUAGUUUAUAUUGGGUCAUCUUGUGGACCACAGGAAGGUUGUAGUUUAUAUUGGGUCAUCUUGUGGACCACAGGAAGGUUGUAGUUUAUAUUGGGUCAUCUUUCCUAACAUGCAUGUUGGCUACAAUUUGUCAUUGAAGAGAAAGCUCAAUUUUCACAUAGUUUCUCUGCAAAAAAAUAUAAGUAUCAAACGAUAGGUUGCUUACAGCCUUGUACUCUUCCUCUGUGGCAAAUCUCUCCCUCUGGAUGCGGGUCAUGUAGAGGACGUCAGUCUCAGGCAGGGCCUCUUCGAUGCUCUCAAACUCUUCCUGCACAAGCACAAAGAAAGUUGGUUUUUAAAUCUUUAGGUAGCACAUAAGCAAGCAACAUGCACACACACACUCACACAUACACAACUAGAGUAACCACUUUAUACUUUAGCAAAGGAAAAGCCAGGAUGGUUAGAAGAUUUGGUCGUUUUUCAGAUGAGGGAUUAGCAUGCACACCAUUUGGGUUUAUGGACACAGGUUAACUGGUCACCAUGCAAAUUGGUCUUCCUGUGUCCAUGUAAAAGUAGUGAUGGACUAGAGUCC